rnacentral:lncRNA from 1 species
ACCUGUGGCACCAUCUACAUUGGCUUGUGGUGUGGAAUGGGGAGUCAUGGGAACACAGUUUGAGGUUCACGUUUGGCCACUGUAAGUGCCUUGGCCAGGCCCUCUCUCUCCGAGGGUUGGCUUGUUCUCCAGUACAAUGAGUGGCAUAAAGUGAAGUGAUCUCUAAGACCUAGGUUACACAUUCCAGGUACAGAGCAAACUUACAUUCACAGAUGAUGCAGACAUGCGCAGAUCCGUUCUUACAUCUCACCGAGGUCUCACAGAUCCGAGUGGGUCCAAUUUGCCAUCGAUUGGAAUCUUGAACCUGUUCCUUAUUAGAUUUGAGUGACCUUAGACAUGCUGUUUAAUUUCUAAACUUUUUACUCCUUUGUGAAAAGAAAGUAAUAAUGUGUUUAGCUUUACAGUUGUUAAGAGAAUUGAAUGAAAAAGAAUUACUUAUCAAUUCCAACUUUUUUUUUUUUUUUUAGGGCCGCACCUGCAGCAUAUGGAAGUUCCCAGGCUAGAGGUCCAGUCGGAGCGACAGCUGCCAGCCUACAUGACAGCACAGCAGUGCAGGAUCCAAGCCAUGUCUUUGACUUAACACCACAGCUCGCAGCAACACCAGAUCCUUAUCUCACUGAGUGAGGCCAGGGAUCUAACCCACAUCCUCAUGGAUCCUAGUCAAGCUUGUUACUGCAGAGCCACGAUGGGAACUCCCCAGCAAAUAUUUCUUAAGCGCCCACUAUCUCCUAGGCACAGUUCCAGGCACAUGGGCGCGCAUCGAGCAAGCGGAAGAAAACCCAUUGUCUUGGGGAACUGCCAUCCUGGUUGGAGGUCACACCAUCACCAUCACCUCUGCCUGAGAACGCCUUCUCUUCCAGGUUGGUUCCUUCAGUUCUUGAAUUCCACUUUCUGAUUUAUAUCUCUGUUUCAUGGCAGCACAUUCUUCUCUAGCUUCCCAAGAAGGACUGCAGAAAACAGUUUUGAGAUAUUGUUUAUUAGUCGGGAUAAACUAUUAUAGUUUCUCAACCUCAACACUG